GACGAACGCUGGCGGCGUGCUUAACACAUGCAAGUCGAACGCUGAAGCUCAGCUUUUGUUGGGUGGAUGAGUGGCGAACGGGUGAGUAACACGUGAGUAACCUGCCUCCUUCUUUGGGAUAACGCCCGGAAACGGGUGCUAAUACUGGAUAUUCACUGGUCUUCGCAUGGGGGUUGGUGGAAAGGGUUUUUCUGGUGGGGGAUGGGCUCGCGGCCUAUCAGCUUGUUGGUGGGGUGAUGGCCUACCAAGGCUUUAACGGGUAGCCGGCCUGAGAGGGUGACCGGUCACAUUGGGACUGAGAUACGGCCCAGACUCCUACGGGAGGCAGCAGUGGGGAAUAUUGCACAAUGGGCGCAAGCCUGAUGCAGCGACGCCGCGUGAGGGAUGGAGGCCUUCGGGUUGUGAACCUCUUUCGCUCAUGGUCAAGCCGCAACAAUGGUUGUGGUGAGGGUAGUGGGUAAAGAAGCGUCGGCUAACUACGUG
rnacentral:rRNA from 1 species